UAUAUUGGAUGAUGUCAACAA
rnacentral:miRNA from 1 species